rnacentral:rRNA from 1 species
GUGGGGAAUAUUGGGCAAUGGGGGCAACCCUGACCCAGCAACGCCGCGUGAAGGAAGAAGGCUUUCGGGUUGUAAACUUCUUUGACCAGGGACGAAACAAAUGACGGUACCUGGAAAACAAGCCACGGCUAACUACGUGCCAGCAGCCGCGGUAAUAAGUAGGUGGCAAGCGUUGUCCGGAUUUACUGGGUGUAAAGGGCGCGUAGGCGGGACUGCAAGUCAGAUGUGAAAUCUGGGGGCUUAACCUCCAAACUGCAUUUGAAACUGUGGUUCUUGAGUGAUGGAGAGGCAGGCGGAAUUCCUAGUGUAGCGGUGAAAUGCGUAGAUAUUAGGAGGAACACCAGUGGCGAAGGCGGCCUGCUGGACAUUAACUGACGCUGAGGCGCGAAAGCGUGGGGAGCAAACAGGAUUAGAAACCCGGGUAGUCC